rnacentral:rRNA from 1 species
UACGUGAGGGUGCAAGCGUUGUCCGGAAUUAUUGGGCGUAAAGAGCUCGUAGGCGGUCUGUCGCGUCUGCUGUGAAAAUCCAGGGCUCAACCCUGGACCUGCAGUGGGUACGGGCAGACUAGAGUGCGGUAGGGGAGAUCGGAAUUCCUGGUGUAGCGGUGAAAUGCGCAGAUAUCAGGAGGAACACCGGUGGCGAAGGCGGAUCUCUGGGCCGUAACUGACGCUGAGGAGCGAAAGCAUGGGGAGCGAACAGG